GAGUUUGAUUCUGGCUCAGGACGAACGCUGGCGGCGUGCGUAACACAUGCAAGUUGAACGACGGUGUCAUGAAGUGGUAACACGGAAUGGCAUACGGAGUAGCGGACGGGUGAGUACAACAUGAGAAGCUGUCCAAUAGUGGGGGAUAACGUUCGGAAACGGACCCUAAUACCCAUAGGCCUUUUGGUUAAAGCAGCGAUGCGCUAUUGGAGGUGCUCGUGUCCUAUCAGCUGGUUGGUGAGGUAACGGCUCACCAAGGCGACGACGGGUAGCCGGCCUGAGAGGGUGUCCGGCCACACUGGAACUGAGAUACGGUCCAGACUCCUACGGGAGGCAGCAGUGGGGAAUAUUGGGCAAUGGGAGAAAUCCUGACCCAGCGACGCCGCGUGAACGAAGAAGGCCUUCGGGUCGUAAAGUUCUUUUAUGUGGGAAGAAGGAAGUGA
rnacentral:rRNA from 1 species